GACGAACGCUGGCGGCGUGCUUAACACAUGCAAGUCGAACGGUGAAGCGCCUUCCUUUUUGGUGGGUGUGGAUGAGUGGCGAACGGGUGAGUAACACGUGAGUAACCUGCCCCCUUCUUCUGGAUAACCGCAUGAAAGUGUGGCUAAUACGGGAUAUUCUGGGUCUGUCGCAUGAUGGGUCUGGGAAAGAUAUUGUUUCGGUGGGGGAUGGGCUCGCGGCCUAUCAGCUUGUUGGUGGGGUGAUGGCCUACCAAGGCGGUGACGGGUAGCCGGCCUGAGAGGGUGGACGGUCACACGGGGACUGAGACACGGCCCAGACUCCUACGGGAGGCAGCAGUGGGGAAUAUUGCACAAUGGGCGCAAGCCUGAUGCAGCGACGCCGCGUGAGGGAUGGAGGCCUUCGGGUUGUGAACCUCUUUCGCCAGUGAAGCAGGCCUGCCUCGUUUGUGGGUGGGUUGACGGUAGCUGGAGAAGAAGCGCCGGCUAACUGCGUG
rnacentral:rRNA from 1 species